AGCAUCUGGGCGCUUCAGGCAGCAUUGCGGCAGUAUGCACUGAAUGGUGACACAUAGGAAGAUUUGGAUUUUUGACCACCACAGUGCCCGUGAGUCCUGAAAGGGGGAGGCCACCAGCCCCUAGAAGUGGUCAGCAUCUCCUAAUGUUGCUGCUGCUGGUCCCUCGCCCUCCGCCCAGUGCUGCAACAAGGCAGGGACUUCAUAGAAGGAGGCAGUGCCAGAAGGGCUGUCGAGGCCACCAAGGAAGGUGUUGUCACCAUCCACCAGUUCCAUACUGCAGCCAUCUUCUGCCCUGUACUCCAAAAGUUAUCUGUUUCAUUAUAUGUGCCAAGACAGGAUCUGCCUGCACAGGUGUACUUCCAGCACCUGCAAUGAAAACAUGCUGCUAGAUGGAAUGUCAAAUUAAAUGGAUGAAGUCAGAUGGAAAAUAGAGGAGGAAUAAACAACUGCCCUGUGACUCAUGUCAUCAAUAGCCUUAUUAGUGCACAGAACCUCAGGCUACAAGGAAAUUGUUUUGAAUCUUCUGUUGAAGACUCUUAAGAGUUCUUAAUUGACUGCAAACAACUUCAUAAUCUGAGCGAUGUUGUUUGGGGUGAGGUUGUUUUGAAUUAAAGACAAGCAGCCUGGUGCACAGUGUGGCACUGCCUCGCAUAGUGAUAACACAGGAGGAGACAGUCCAUCUGCCAGCAGUGCAAGUAGUGGCACCCUGGCACACACCCGCAACUCGGGCACCAGGAGCUGCCAGCCACUGCUGCAAGCUGUCUCCUCUGCCACCAGCACCCUCUGCAUCUUCUGCCACACCAUGAGAAACAGCUGUCAGCAAGCACAGGCAGCAGCCACUGGCAGGUUGUCCCAUCUGCUCCAGGCAUCUGCAGUUGGAUGGAGACUUGAAAUUCUCCCUUGAGUCUGUGAAGAAGCUAAAGGAGCUUAUGGAUGAGAACAGAUCCUUUAACCCUCACGUUGUGGUUUCAAUGGCUAGCUACUCUCCAUGUGAUGAAAAAGAUCUCCCUGAGGAGUUCCAAUCUGUGUGCAAAAGAGAAGACGCAUCCACUGUUUUUGAGAGGCUGAACCUGGUUGCCCAAGAAGCUGAUUUAUGUGAAAUCUGUGCCAAUGCUGCCUGCGCUGGUUGCUUUUGAAUAAAGAUGAAGCAAUCCAAAGAACAUGUGUCAAGCUAAGAAGUUUGUGCAUUCAUAUGGCAAGAUCACAUGCUUCCACAAAUCACUAUUUGGUCUCCAUCUCCACUACAGUCAAACUAGAGCUACUAGCUCAUGUAGACGUAUCAAUGGCAGUCCUGAAGUAGUUAGAUCAAGAGCCAACAGCAGUGCGGUUCUGGUUACAAGGAAAACCUCUGGUAAACCUCAUCUGGGAGGUUUCAGUUGUGCAUGUGUUACAUGUGUCACACUGGAACAAAAAUGUCCUGGACACAGUUUCAUUUUCCACUAUUUUCUGAAUUGGAACAUGAUGGGUGAAAGUGAGUAGCCCCCUGCAGUCUUUUUGAUAGAAAAAUCUGCCUGUGAUUUGGCCUUCCCUACACAUCACACCUAGCAGCAUUGGGUUAUUAUGUUUUCCAGCCAAUGCUUUGAAGCAUGUUGGAAAACUAUCUCACUACCUGUAGAUCUGCAUGUGAUGUGUAUGUUUGUAACAAAUCAAGUAACGUGGGGACAAGUUAUUGGUGUUUAGCAACCUUUUCAUAGUCAGAAAAUUUCAGUCUGUUACUUGUACUAAUUGUUGCAAAUUUAGGAAAUUACCAUACAGGAGGAUAGGAACACUUGGCAAGAAGGCAACAGAUCAACAGAUCAACAACAUAUUCCUAAAUCACAGCAUUUUUAACAAGAAAAUGUUAGCUACUGAUCAUAAGGUGCUUUUUCAAAACAUUCAGCUUGUUUUGUAUCUAGUCUACUUUCUUUCACUGUCUUGUAGUGUUUUUCCAGGAAGAUGGAAGCAAAGCUAUGAAAUUGUUGCUAGGUAAACACAUAAAGUAAAUUCUCAUGAUAAGCAAGCAGAAAUAAAGCAGUCAUAAAAAGACUUCCUCUUCUGUAAAUUCAGAAGAGAGUAGAAAAAUAAAUCAGUGUGAAAAAUA